rnacentral:lncRNA from 1 species
GAAAGGGAGUUCCCUUCCGCCUCCCUAAUGCCAUGGAAUGGGGAAGGGUACAACUCUAGGAUCAGACCCAAAGGGAACUGUUGUGAAUCUUGAUUUUGUGACUUCUUGGCUAUUGGAUUUGGGCCAAUUAUUUGUCAUCUCUGUACCUUAAUUUACUCAUCUAUGAAAGAAGGACUAAAAAUACUUAUCAUAGGAGAAGACAAUAUGUAAGCCACUUGGCAAUGUGCCUGGGACCUAGUGAGCGAUUCUUCUCACUUAUUAUUGUUUUCGUCAUCAUCGACAUCAUCGUCACCAUUACUUUUCAUUGUCUUUGGAAAUUUGGACAGAGACCACAGGCAGAUGCGGUGCCGUAUUCCCACAGGGCUGGAGCAGCGGGUGUGUUUUUCUGUGAUAGCAGCGCUUCCCGGAACCAGCAGGGUACACGUUAUUUGACCUGAAGGGCGAGGGAGUUCAGAGCCUACAGUGAUGAGAGAAAGCCCUGAGUGAACGUUUCCUUUCAGCUUCGUGAGAGGAAGAGUCUAAAUAGGGGAGCCAUCCCCAAAACCUGACCACGAGCAAGGGUGCAAAAUAGGGUGCAGUCUCUUCACAUAUCUAGACAGGAGAUGACACGGCAGUUAGGAGCUUCUCUGGGGCCUUCAGGCAGACGGUCUGGGCUGUGUCCUGGCUGUGCCUUUUCCCAGCCCUACCUGCAGUCCUACACAUCUUCUCCACCUCCAGCGGCUUCUCCUUCUCACAUCCACCCUCUGCGAAGGCAUAAAUAGUAGCAACUCCCUUCUGGAUUCUAUGAGGUGAUAAUUACAUGAGAUGGCAGAGCCUGGAGCACGGGAGCUCCUCAGUGACUCAGUCAUGUUCAUUCCAAGGAGUUCAGGGUCCUUGCCGUCUGCAAACCUUUCCCCUUAUUUUCAAGAUCCUUGAGUCUGACUGUCAAGCAGUAACAUUCCAGCCUCAACUACAACAAUACUUGUAGAUGGAUGGAGCUUCCACUGGACCCCAUGUCACUGGUGAGGGACUUCAGGCAGAGAGAAAGCUCAUCCUUUGCCCAAGGUCACACCGCUGGUAAAAAGCAAAUGAAGUUCAAACUGACCUCCUCAUCCCUGCCCUUGUCCUCCCAACAGGCUCCUCACAGGUGGAAAAAUCAACCCCUACAGCAAACUCAUUGUUUUUUUGACCUCUCCUAAAAUUAAAAUCCAAGAUCCCUCAUGAGCUCUGUGAUCUUGGGUAAGGUGUUUUUUUUUUUUUCACCUCUAUGGGUUCCAGUUUCCUCCAAAGAAAAACCAAGGGUUUUGCAAACAUUUAAUUGUCAGUGCACAUCAUGCCAGUUUCAUGUCCUUGACCUUGGGAGAAGGCUGGCCAGUGGCCAGAACCGUCCUCUAUGCUCUGAGGCUGAGAGGCGUCAAAGCAAAGCUCUGUGACACACAUUACCUUUGAGCCCCCAAAGAACAUGAAGGAGCCCAGCCUGGGGGGUGCUUCUACUCUCUCUCUCCCAGUCCAGACUCCAGCUACUUCCCCUAAAGAGGAAGGCCAUGCUGAGUGUCUCCAGCUGAGGACGUGUUACUCCAAGACUCAUCUCCUUUGAUGUCUGGUCUCGUUAGCGGCUACGGUGGUAUAGGUGCUGACUGGGUUAACUCCAUCAAUAUUCUCCUUCUUACUCACCUACUUUGCUGUUUAAUAACAUAAUACAUAUUCUUGUAUCUUUUUUAAUCCUUUGUUCUGCAUGAGUUAUAACACUUUGGCCUUCCAGGAUCAGUAAUCCAAGAAAU